rfam:Mus musculus chromosome 9, GRC primary reference assembly.
GUCUACAGCCAUACCACCCUGAAGGAGCCUGAUCUCGUCUGAUCUCAGAAGCUAAGCAGGGUCGGGCCUGGUUAAUACUUGGAUGGGAGACCUCCUGGGAAUACCGGGUGCUUUAAGAA